CUCUAAUCUGCCCUGAGAAAUUGUUAACAGGAUGUAAAUGCGUCCAGGGAUGAUAUAUGGCUUCGUGUAUAACAUACAUGUUAUUGUUAAGCAUUUUGCAUGCAAGCCCUGAGAUUAUGCACACAGAGAAUAGAAGAGAUGGUAUUGAUUGAUGGAAUAACAAAUGUUGAAUAUCGUUUUAGAUGCAAAUGAUCAAACAGGGUUAUGGGAGAAAUCUUUUUUCUUCUUCUUCUUUUUUUUUAGCAUUUUAUGGAUAUAGACAAGGAUGAAAUAGUAAAGGGAUUGGAGGACUUAUCUCAGGCAACAAUUUUAAUUCAAUGGAAUGAAGUAAGGAGAAUCUAAACAUUAAGAUUAUUUUAUGAUUUUAUGGGUUUCACUGUAGCUAGGUGAAAAUUUGGAUUUUCUUGAAUUCACUAAAAACAAAAUCUCAACGGUACAAUGUGAGUCAUGUUUCAUUUUUUUAAAACAUCAUAAGGUGUCAACUGCAAUUAGUGUCUGAGACAGUGAAGGAAUACAUGUUUUGGGUUUUUGUCACCGAUCCAGAAAUUUAUUCACGGCUUCUAUACCGUGUUUGAAUUUUUUCCUUUUUUUUUUUCUUUUUUUUUUUUACAAAAACAUCAUCUUGUCAUUUUCAGUCAGAACCUGUUUGGAGUCAAAGUCAACUUCAGCUUACUUUCUGAUGCAUUUAUAUUUUGAUGUACACUGUUUCAUCUUUAUUCUGUCAGCAGGCAGGGCGUAUUGCUGAUGAGCAUUGGAAAUAUUCAUACAAAGCUGUCAAGAACUGCAUUUUUAAAAACAUCAAUAAAGCAUAUAGCGGUGUAUAUGCUGUCAACUCUAAGUAAUAUACUGUAUUUUAUCGAGACUCAUAGUUAUCUAUACUUUCCCCCAAAAAAGAGAGAGAAUCAGUGAUUCGCUUUGAUGAGAAAACUAUUCACUCUCCAGUCAUGAAUCCCCUCAGUUUUGUUAUCUUUUACUUUUCUUUUUCUCCAGUGCUCAGGCUAGAGAAAGUGUUCGUUGUCACUUCCUGUCAAGGUUCGUUAGGACUCAGCAUCAGUUCCGAUGGACAGGAAGCUGUGUGAUUUUUCUGUAGUACAAUAAUUAGACCCCCCCCCCCUUUUUUUUUCCCAUCCA
ensembl:lncRNA